rnacentral:rRNA from 1 species
UACGUAGGGUGCAAGCGUUGUCCGGAAUUAUUGGGCGUAAAGAGCUUGUAGGCGGUUUGUCGCGUCUGCUGUGAAAUUUCGGGGCUCAACCCCGAACUGCAGUGGGUACGGGCAGACUAGAGUGUGGUAGGGGAGACUGGAAUUCCUGGUGUAGCGGUGAAAUGCGCAGAUAUCAGGAGGAACACCGAUGGCGAAGGCAGGUCUCUGGGCCACUACUGACGCUGAGAAGUGAAAGCAUGGGG